UGCCCAGAAGAUUGUUGCCACAAGGAAG
rnacentral:piRNA from 2 species